rnacentral:lncRNA from 1 species
UUUUCGACUUGGUUCAGAGGAGCACGCGGAUUGCACCCCUGUUCCAGUAUGGCUGCUAUCAUCCCCAUUUUGAUCGUCACUGUAGUGUCAAAUGUUUCUGGAAUGCUCGCUAUACCAUUGUGGGGACAUGACAAACUCUGUUGCACAACUCUGGCAGCUGAGGACGAUUUGAGCUUGUGGGAGUGACAAACUGUGCGACCCUGAUAUAGCCACCUGAUGGCUGUGAGCUCCCUUCAGGAAAGAUGCAGAAUGAAUCAUUUCAGUUGAGGAGUCUGAACAUGGUGUCAAACAAAAGCUAAAGAGAUAUAGAUGCAGAAUGAAUCUUUCCAGUAGAGGAGUCUGAACGUAGUGUUUACACACACCGUAAAGAGAUUGAGGCUCUAUCCUAUUUAGGGACGCAUGACAAUCUCUGUACAACCCUGAUAAAAGCAGCUCAUUACAAGAAAGGGCUGUCCCAUCAACUAAGCAAGCUAAAGGUGACUGGAAAGGCACCAAAACUCCACCAAUUGACAGAAAUUGAGAAGAAACUUGGGACGAGUUCUCCUUUGGCUUAAUAAAUGAAGAGUCGGAGCUGAAGUUGUCAAGUGGAAGAUUGGCUUUGGUGUUCUUCUGCAUAAAUGAAUAAAUGAAUUGAUAUGCAUUGCACUUUGGUUUGCAAGUCAAUGAACAGAUACAUUUCAAAAACAGACAUGUAGGAGGAUUUAGAAUGGAUGAAAAUAACCUAAAUAAAAGAUUGAUAAAGC